rnacentral:rRNA from 1 species
CCAGAAGUAGGGGAUAACACCUGGAAACAGAUGCUAAUACCGUAUAACAGAGAAAACCGCAUGGUUUUCUUUUAAAAGAUGGCUCUGCUAUCACUUCUGGAUGGACCCGCGGCGUAUUAGCUAGUUGGUGAGGUAAAGGCUCACCAAGGCAGUGAUACGUAGCCGACCUGAGAGGGUAAUCGGCCACAUUGGGACUGAGACACGGCCCAGACUCCUACGGGAGGCAGCAGUAGGGAAUCUUCCACAAUGGACGCAAGUCUGAUGGAGCAACGCCGCGUGAGUGAAGAAGGGUUUCGGCUCGUAAAGCUCUGUUGUUAAAGAAGAACGUGGGUAAGAGUAACUGUUUACCCAGUGACGGUAUUUAACCAGAAAGCCACGGCUAACUACGUGCCAGCAGCCGCGGUAAUACGUAGGUGGCAAGCGUUAUCCGGAUUUAUUGGGCGUAAAGCGAGCGCAGGCGGUCUUUUAAGUCUAAUGUGAAAGCCUUCGGCUCAACCGAAGAAGUGCAUUGGAAACUGGGAGACUUGAGUGCAGAAGAGGACAGUGGAACUCCAUGUGUAGCGGUGAAAU